UACGUAGGGGGCAAGCGUUGUCCGGAAUCAUUGGGCGUAAAGCGCGCGUAGGCGGCCCGAUAAGUCCGCUGUGAAAGUCAACGGCUCAACUGUUGAACUCCGGUGGAUACUGUCGGGCUAGAGUCCGGAAGAGGCAAGUGGAAUUCCUGGUGUAGCGGUGGAAUGCGCAGAUAUCAGGAGGAACACCAAUAGCGAAGGCAGCUUGCUGGGACGGUACUGACGCUAAGGCGCGAAAGCGUGGGGAGCGAACAGG
rnacentral:rRNA from 1 species